AACGAACGCUGGCGGCAUGCCUAACACAUGCAAGUCGAACGAGACCUUCGGGUCUAGUGGCGCACGGGUGCGUAACGCGUGGGAAUCUGCCCUCUGGUACGGAAUAACUCAGGGAAACUUGAGCUAAUACCGUAUAAUGACUUCGGUCCAAAGAUUUAUCGCCUGAGGAUGAGCCCGCGUCGGAUUAGCUAGUUGGUAGGGUAAAGGCCUACCAAGGUGACGAUCCGUAGCUGGUCUGAGAGGAUGAUCAGCCACACUGGGACUGAGACACGGCCCAGACUCCUACGGGAGGCAGCAGUGGGGAAUAUUGGACAAUGGGGGAAACCCUGAUCCAGCAAUGCCGCGUGAGUGAUGAAGGCCUUAGGGUUGUAAAGCUCUUUUACCCGGGAAGAUAAUGACAGUACCGGGAGAAUAAGCCCCGGCUAACUCCGUGCCAGCAGCCGCGGUAAUACGGAGGGGGCUAGCGUUGUUCGGAAUUACUGGGCGUAAAGCGCACGUAGGCGGCUUUGUAAGUU
rnacentral:rRNA from 1 species